GACGAACGCUGGCGGCGUGCCUAAUACAUGCAAGUCGAGCGCUGAAGGUUGGUACUUGUACCGAUUGGAUUAGCAGCUAACGGGUGAGUAACGCGUGGGUAAUCUUCUUUUUAGUGGGGGACAAAAUUGGGAAACGAAUGCUAAUACUGCAUAAAAACUUUUAACACAAGUUUCAAGUGUGAAAGAUGCAAUUGCAUCACUCAAAGAUGAUUCCGCGUUUGAUUAGUUAGUUGGGGAGGUAAAGGCCCACCAAGGCGAUGAUACCUGGGCGUCCUGGGAGGGUGGUCCGGCCCAUUGGGACUGGGACCCCGCCCCAACUCCUUCCGGAAGCAACAGUAGGGGAACUUCGGACAUGGGGGGCAGGCUUAACGCACACCGCCGCGUGAGUGGAGGAAGUUUUUGGAUCGUAAAACUCUGUUGGUAGAGAAGAACGUUGGUGAGAGUAGAAAGCUCAUCAAGUGACGGUACCUACACAGAAAGCAACGGCUAACUACGUG
rnacentral:rRNA from 1 species